rnacentral:rRNA from 1 species
AGCAGCCGCGGUAAUUCCAGCUCCAAUAGCGUAUAUUAAAGUUGCUGCAGUUAAAAAGCUCGUAGUUGAAUUUCGGGACCAAUAUGUCGGUCGUGCCUCGGUACGUACUGGCAUCGUUGGUUUCUCCCUUCUGACGAACCAUGAUGUCAUUUAUUUGGUGUCGUGGGGAAUCAGGACUGUUACUUUGAAAAAAUUAGAGUGUUUAAAGCAGGCUCACGCUUGAAUACAUUAGCAUGGAAUAAUGAAAUAGGACGUUUGAUUCUAUUUUGUUGGUUUCUAGGAUCGACGUAAUGAUUAAUAGGGAUAGGUUGGGGGCAUUAGUAUUCAAUUGUCAGAGGUGAAAUUCUUGGAUUUAUUGAAGACUAACUACUGCGAAAGCAUUUGCCAAGGAUGUUUUCAUUAAUCAAGAACGAAAGUUAGGGGAUCGAAGACGAUCAGAUACCGUCGUAGUCUUAACCAUAAACUAUGCCGACUAGGGAUCGGAUGAUGUUAAUUUUUAAUGACUCAUUCGGCGCCUUAA